UACGGAGGGAGCUAGCGUUGUUCGGAAUUACUGGGCGUAAAGCGCACGUAGGCGGCUUUGUAAGUUAGAGGUGAAAGCCCGGGGCUCAACCCCGGAAUUGCCUUUAAGACUGCAUCGCUUGAAUCCGGGAGAGGUGAGUGGAAUUCCGAGUGUAGAGGUGAAAUUCGUAGAUAUUCGGAAGAACACCAGUGGCGAAGGCGGCUCACUGGCCCGGUACUGACGCUGAGGCACGAAAGCGUGGGGAGCAAACAGG
rnacentral:rRNA from 1 species